rnacentral:rRNA from 1 species
CAGCAGCCGCGGUAAUACGUAGGUCCCGAGCGUUGUCCGGAUUUAUUGGGCGUAAAGCGAGCGCAGGCGGUUAGAUAAGUCUGAAGUUAAAGGCUGUGGCUUAACCAUAGUACGCUUUGGAAACUGUUUAACUUGAGUGCAAGAGGGGAGAGUGGAAUUCCAUGUGUAGCGGUGAAAUGCGUAGAUAUAUGGAGGAACACCGGUGGCGAAAGCGGCUCUCUGGCUUGUAACUGACGCUGAGGCUCGAAAGCGUGGGGAGCAAACAGGAUUAGAUACCCCGGUAGUCCCUGUCUCUUAUACC